UGUUCGUGCUCGUCGCCGCCAUUCCUCCCGCUCCCCAUGGUUGCCCCGACGCCUCCACCGGCUAGCUACCAUGGAUCCAUGGCCGAUGGGAGAGUACAAGGCAGGGAAGGACGCCGUCGUCGACCCAUCGCUUAGGUUGGUGGCGCAUGGGUCGGAUCUGGGCAGAAGGCCGGCGCCUACGGGGGAAAACGACGGGGGUUGGUGCAGCGGAAAAUGAGGACGGGGUCGGCCGUAGAGGGAGGCUCGCCGGCCGGAACAACCGGAGCAAGGAGGCAGUGUUGGCCAUGGAGGGAGGCCCACUGGCCGGAGCAGCAGGAGCAACUGUAGCCGCUGGUCGGCCCGACACACCGCCUCCUCUGCUGCGGCCCGCACGGUCGAGAGGGGCAGCUGUGCCGUAGCUGGCGGCGAGUUCAGCGGCCGCCGCCUCCUCUCCUCUUCGAAUCCAGUUCCACACCGACGACCACAAUGGGAUGGAUCAAGCAGCCAAGACUCAGAGUGUGGUCGACAGUGCGGCUCUUCCAGCACUGAAGUUAUGUCUUUUCGGCCAAUUUCAAUUGCCUCACUACCUCUACACAUGGAUCCUGUAGGUAUUUCCUAAUGUAAGUGUCACUGUUUUUCUUCUUUAUGUACCUGGACGGAGUGCUCAUGAGGAUGACGACAUGCUACUGAACUCAAAUUCAAAAAUGAAUUUGGGGGCCUGGGGUUUGGAGCCCCUCAGUAAAAGUGCUCAGGCGGCAUGUCACAGUUGUUUGCUGAUAAUUUACCAAGAACAAAUUUUGCUUGUCUCUAGCAUUAGGCUAUGAGCCCUAAAGCAGUUCCAGUGUGAUGAUCUACCUCUUGACUAGGAAGGGGGGAUUGAAAGAUAGCACUUGUCGUUUGAAGCAAUUAGUAUUGGACUACUUGAGGAAGUAGAUGUUUAAACCACUAAACCUUAUAUUCUUUUGUAAAAAGGAGGGUGCAGAUAAAUAAGGGUUGUUGGCAGCAGCAACCUACACAUGUGGAAACAGUGGCUAUGGCAGCUCAAAGCGAAGUUGUGGCCGCUAGACAGCAACUCACAACUUAGUGGCAGCUCAAAGUACAUAUAAUCUAUUUCUUCUUGGAGCUAUCUACUAUAAUAUUAUGACUCGGUGCUAGGUGAAGCUUCUAAUUUCUCGCCUUUUGUGGUGGCGCUGAUUCUUUCAACUGCAGUAGUUUUUCUAUGUGCCAUUGUAAGUGUAGGUUUUCUACAGUUAAGCCUCUCGCAUUGCAAAAAGCUACAUUCCAUUGUUUUUCUAUGUGCCAUUGUAAGUGUAGGUUUUCUACCGGCUUCAACAUAGAUAAUUAGCAUGCGAGAGGCUUAACUGUAGCUUUUUGCGAUGCUAGACGGACAUAUUCAGUACUGAAAAUCUAGACUGUUCUUUCCACUCUGUAACAACUUCUAUGCUUGCGCCACCAUGAUAUCAGUACAACAUUUCCCUAUAAAAUUUUAUUAGUUGCAUGUAAACUGAAUUGAUUUACCAGUAAAAAUCUGGACAACUGAUUCCAGUCGAUAAUAACCAUUGUGGCAUUACCAUGAUAUGUCAUGUAUCUGCUCUGAGUUGUAGUAUGUUGCAAAAAGUACAAUAAGAGAUAGAAUGUAUGCACUAUGGCUAGCAAUAACUUUUUUUUGACUUGUACAACAUUUGAUCUAUCUAUUUUUGUAGGCUAUUCCUCUUGUUGCAACCUUUUCCCAUAGAAUCAAAAGGAAUUAGAUUGAAGAAAUUGCAGGAGAGCAGGAAGGGUAUUCCUGGUGUGACAUUCAAAAGCAGUCAAAGCAGUGAGGUUUAGAACGGAGGAGCUCCAUGGAAUUGUGGAUAAAAAAUUAUCCAUAACAUG